rnacentral:rRNA from 1 species
CGUACGUUCCUCGUACUAAGUUGUUCGGUAGUUUUACGUUUAACAAUAGAUGACUAAGUUAAUUUAGGGGUACAGAAGUAAACAAAGUAACGACUUAGUUAGUUUAAAGUUAAAAGGUAGUAUUUAAUAGUUCGGAUAUGAGCGAGGAAUGUCGGCGAGCGGCGGACGGCUGAGUAGCGCGUAGGAACAUACCCCAAAGUGAGGCAUAACCGCCCGAAAGGGUGGCUAAUACCGCAUAUUGUCUUCGGAUGAAAGCUUUUAGCGCUUUGGGAAUGGCCUGCGUUUGAUUAGCUAGUUGGUGAGGUAAGGGCUUACCAAGGCGAUGAUCAAUAGCUGGUUUGAGAGAAUGAUCAGCCAGACUGGAACUGAGACACGGUCCAGACUCCUACGGGAGGCAGCAGUUGGGAAUUUUCCACAAUGGGCGAAAGCCUGAUGGAGCAACGCCGCGUGCAGGAAGAAUGCCUUCGGGUUGUAAACUGCUUUUAUGUGCGAAGAAUAUGACGGUAGCAUAUGAAUAAGGGUCGGCUAACUACGUG